UACGUAGGGGGCAAGCGUUGUCCGGAAUCAUUGGGCGUAAAGCGCGCGUAGGCGGCCCGGUCAGUCCGUUGUGAAAGUCAAAGGCUCAACCUUUGAAUGCCGACGGAUACUGCCGGGCUAGAGUCCGGAAGAGGCGAGUGGAAUUCCUGGUGUAGCGGUGGAAUGCGCAGAUAUCAGGAGGAACACCUAUAGCGAAGGCAGCUCGCUGGGACGGUACUGACGCUGAGGCGCGAAAGUGUGGGGAGCGAACAGG
rnacentral:rRNA from 1 species